UUUCUUUUAGGAAUCUAUUUAAAGUUUAACCUGCCCACUGAUUAAUUAAAUGGCCGCAGUAUUUUAACUGUGCAAAGGUAGCAUAAUCAUUAGUCUUUUAAUUGAAGGCUAGAAUGAAUGGUUGAACGAAAAAUUAACUGUUUUAAAUGUAUUAUUAUAAAAAUUGACUUUUUAGUUAAAAGGCUAAAAUAUAAUUAAAAGACGAAAAGACCCUAUAAAUCUUAAUAUUUAAAUUAUAAUAGUUAUUUAGAAUAUUUAUGUUAUAAUAAUUUAUAAUAUUUUAUUGGGGUGAUAUUAAAAUUUAUAAAACUUUUAAUAAUAAUUUACAUUAAUUAAUGGAUUAUAGAGCUAUUUUAUGAUUAUUAAAAUAAGUUACUUUAGGGAUAACAGCGUAAUUUUUUUGGAAAGUUCAUAUUAAUAAAAAAGAUUGCGACCUCGAUGUUGGAUUAAGAUAUAGAUUUAGAAGCAGU
rnacentral:rRNA from 1 species